AGUAGUUGAAUGAAGAAAAUUCAACUAUAUUUAUGGAAUAGUCAUUUAUGCGAUACUCAUUAUUCUGAAGAACACCUUCUGUAAUGACCCAAAACCAGUUCAGAAAACCACAACACUUCUGAAUUCAAUCUGGAGGCUAUGCUACAAUUUGAUCCUUGUGAGUGGUCUGGAGGCGAUGAAACAAAACGAAAUCUUGAAAAGAAGAAGCAUUACUUUGCAAGAAACUUCCCGCAGAGAGAGGAUACGACCUGCCUCCUG
rnacentral:lncRNA from 10 species